rnacentral:rRNA from 1 species
AGAAUCAACGCUGGCGGCGUGCCUAACACAUGCAAGUCGAACGAGAAAGUGGAGCAAUCCAUGAGUAAAGUGGCGCACGGGUGAGUAACACGUGACUAACCUACCUUUUAGUGGGGGAUAACCUAGGGAAACCUGGGCUAAUACCGCAUAACACUUACGAGUCAAAGCAGCAAUGCGCUGAAAGAGGGGGUCGCGGCCGAUUAGCUAGUUGGCGGGGUAAUGGCCCACCAAGGCAGUGAUCGGUA